ACGCAAGAAACAGGUUGAUGCUUCAGGUAGUAGAGUGCUUCUGAACUGAGCCAGCGCCCAGGAGGUUUCGAUGUUGGGGAGUUCUGUUCUGAGGAUUUGGGGUGAGCUUGAAUUUGGCUCUGUUACUUCUGGAUUACUUGCAAUGAAGUGAACAGAAUACUCUCUGAGGUCCUUUAGUGUCAGCAUAGAGAAGCAGGAAGUUUGUGGGGACUGUGGAUUUUUGCUAGUUUGCUCUAUAGUAAGAGGGAAGCUCUUUCACUGGUGUUAUAAAUUGCUGUUUUCACUAGUGUUGAAUAAAUAACAAGUUCUUUUUUUUUUUCCAGGAGAGAGAUGCUAUUUUAGAAGUCUUUCUAAUGUUUUUCUGUAUGCUGUAAUGGCAACACUUGCUGUUUGGUAAUAAUUUGCAUCAGGUUCCCAGUGGAAAAUGUUGAGUUGUCAGAGUGAACCUUCUGGCCCUGAGCUAUACAUUUUAUCAGUGUUGUGGUGUACUCCAGCAUUGGUGUGAGAAUACUGAGUAAAGCACUUAGUGUGCCUUUUCCAGCUGAGUGAACUAGCUCCAAGGAGCAAUACCAUACUUUUUGCAGUAAGAAUACCAAACAAGGAAUGCUGCAAUUGAUCCUAGGCAGUAGAAAGUACUUGGAUAUUAAACAAGAAAUAAAUAGUUAUCUUUAUGAGGUGAUGGGCACGUUAUUUGUGGAGGAAAAGCAAAUAAACGUGACAGAUUCUGUUCUCCUACUGAAUUAUACCUCUGUGCAAGGAAAGAGGAGUUGUCAUGUCACUCCCACAAUGGAUCUUAAAAUCAGUUUUCAAAAUAUUUCUCUUACGGUGAGUGAAAUGAAAUGCUUCAGGGAAAAAGGCAAGCUACUUUCACAAAGCUCAUUGAGCAAAUUUGCCUCUCUUUCUAUUGAGAUCUCUACUGCUUGUUUCAUUGUUAGAGCUUCUAACAAACUGGAGGAGCUGUAUUUAAGCAUUCUGCCACAGGUUUGGAGGCUGCUUGUUUGUCUGGAGACAAAGUUGGAUUCACUGGUUGCUCACCGCUGCCAGUCAUACUGA
ensembl:lncRNA